UACGGAGGGUGCAAGCGUUAUCCGGAUUCACUGGGUUUAAAGGGUGCGUAGGCGGGUAGGUAAGUCAGUGGUGAAAUCCUGGAGCUCAACUCCAGAACUGCCAUUGAUACUAUCUAUCUUGAAUAUUGUGGAGGUAAGCGGAAUAUGUCAUGUAGCGGUGAAAUGCUUAGAUAUGACAUAGAACACCCAUUGCGAAGGCAGCUUACUACGCAUAUAUUGACGCUGAGGCACGAAAGCGUGGGGAUCAAACAGGAUUAGAUACCCUGGUAGUCCACGCCCUAAACUAUGGAUACUCGACAUGUGCGAUACACUGUAUGUGUCUGAGCGAAAGCAUUAAGUAUCCCACCUGGGAAGUACGUUCGCAAGAAUGAAACUCAAAGGAAUUGGCGGGGGUCCGCACAAGCGGUGGAGUAUGUGGUUUAAUUCGAUGAUACGCGAGGAACCUUACCUGGGCUAGAAUGCUGGGAGACCGCUAGUGAAAGCUAGUUUUGUAGCAAUACACUGCCAGUAAGGUGCUGCAUGACCGUCGUCAGCUCGUGCCGUGAGGUGUUGGGUUAAGUCCCGCAACGAGCGCAACCCCUAUCUUUAGUUGCCAACAGGUAAUGCUGGGAACUCUAAAGAAACUGCCGCCGUAAGGUGUGAGGAAGGAGGGGAUGAUGUCAGGUCAUCAUGGCCUUUAUGCCCAGGGCUACACACGUACUACAAUGGGGGAGACAAAGGGCUGCAACAUAGCGAUAUGAAGCCAAUCCCAAAAACUCCCUCUCAGUUCAGAUUGCAGGCUGCAACUCGCCUGCAUGAAGCUGGAAUCGCUAGUAAUCGUAUAUCAGCAAUGAUACGGUGAAUACGUUCCCGGACCU
rnacentral:rRNA from 1 species